UACAUGAUUUAUGAUAGUGAAGGGGGAAGAACACAUCAACAACCUCACUUUCCACAGGCUGGAUAUUCACCGGCAAAUAUUGGUCUCCAAAAUCCUCUGCCAGCUACUGGCACAAAUAUGUUAGCUCGCAAUCCAAGCCAUUCACACUAUAUUCGCAACCAUCCCUAUAGUGAGUUGAUUGAGAAGACGGUAAACAUGGGUUUCAGAGGUGAUAUUGUUGUGAGUGUGAUACAGAGGAUGGAGGAGAGCG
rnacentral:misc_RNA from 1 species